rnacentral:rRNA from 1 species
CACUCCUGCGGGAGGCAGCAGUGGGGAAUAUUGGACAAUGGGCGCAAGCCUGAUCCAGCCAUGCCGCGUGAGUGAUGAAGGCCCUAGGGUUGUAAAGCUCUUUCACCGGUGAAGAUAAUGACGGUAACCGGAGAAGAAGCCCCGGCUAACUUCGUGCCAGCAGCCGCGGUAAUACGAAGGGGGCUAGCGUUGUUCGGAUUUACUGGGCGUAAAGCGCACGUAGGCGGACUAUUAAGUCAGGGGUGAAAUCCCGGGGCUCAACCCCGGAACUGCCUUUGAUACUGGUAGUCUUGAGUUCGAGAGAGGUGAGUGGAAUUCCGAGUGUAGAGGUGAAAUUCGUAAAUAUUCGGAGGAACACCAGUGGCGAAGGCGGCUCACUGGCUCGAUACUGACGCUGAGGUGCGAAAGCGUGGGGAGCAAACAGGAUUAGAUACCCCUGUAGUCCC